CGAUGUCAAAGACUGUUGUUCCCAUCAGUCACUUAGACACAAAGACAUAGGAUGAAAAAAGGUUGAAAAAAAACGUUAGUUACCCUUUAAUGUGUGAAAAUCCCUUGAAAUGACUUCUUCCUGUGGUUUUUCUUCGGAGUUUGUUCUGUGGAUGGAUGAAGGCUUUUGGCUAUGUCAUAAAACAGCAGGUGUGGGAUUGUUCAGACUCAAAAGGAAACACACCUAUUAACCACCUCAGAAGCUGGCAGAGCAGUGAAAGAGGAAUUUUUGUGUUUCCACCUUGCUGAGCGAGAAUGUGAAUUUCUGUCUCCUUCACUGAAGUCCAAUUUGAAUUAUUUCAAAAAAUAAAAUAAAAUCAAACAUUAACAGGGCCAGGUUCAAAUACAAAGCUCAGUUUUUCUCAUUUGGGAUGAAAGAACGCAUUCACACUUUGUGCACACGCAGUUAUUCUUUUUCUCCGCAGACACACAGGGAUGUAAUGAGCCCUUAGGGUCAUCAUGCUUUGUCACGUUAACAUGAAGUGUAAUAAAGUAGCCACCGCAGCAGCUCAUGCUCCUGUAUAUUUAGUUCACAGUCAUAAUCACAUUUGUCACUGGGGAUUAUUGAGGAAUGUAAAAGGGAGAGUCCAGAAAGUUGUUUCACUGUAACUGUCUUCACGUUCUCAUGUCGUGUGGUUUAACAUCACUGUUUAACAAACCAAAAUGAAACGCUAGUAAAUGAAGGAGGUUUCUCAGACAUUAUUUGGGAAAUGUGGCUAGAAUAUAUUUUGUUAUUAACUUUUUUAAAAGUCUACAUUUUUGUACCUGAUGUGUAAUUAUGUAAUUUAAGGACCAGAUUCAAACUUGUAUGUUUCAGGUUACUGUAUACGGUCAGAUUAAUUAACAGACAUACUGUAAGCAGGGUUGAAUUGGACACAAGACACAGACUUGUACUCGUACUGGACUGUCUAUAAUAUCUGCUCAAUGUACUGCAAAGUUUAUGGAUUGCAAAUUAAACACAGCUUUUCUCACAAAUGAA